rnacentral:tRNA from 1 species
CCUGGUGGCUCAGAUGGUAAAGCAUCUGCCUGUAAUACAGGAGACCCGGGUUCUAUCCCUGGGUCAGGA